AUUCACUCAAAAAGAAGUGUCAAAAAGUCAAUUAUCUUUCAAGUUUCAGGAAAUAUGUAUCAGAUAAAUAAUUCGGAGCAUAAUUCAAUCUUUGAAAAUAAUAAUUUAAAAAACCCAAAAAUGCUGACUCUUUUAAAUUCCCUAGUUUAAAAACGUAAAUGAAAAGAAACAUAAUCAUUUGACACAGCAACAAUAAUACAAAAACAAGAUUUUG
rnacentral:misc_RNA from 1 species